GAUGAACGCUAGCGGCAGGCCUAAUACAUGCAAGCUGAACGGUAAAUAUUGUAGCAAUACGAUAUGAGAGUAGCGUAAGGGUGCGUAACACGUAUGCAAUCUGCCCUGUACAGGAGGAUAGCUCGGCGAAAGCCGGAUUAAUACUCCGUAAUAUUAUUGGAAGGCAUCUUUUGAUAAUUAAAGUCGCAAGACGGUAUAGGAUGAGCAUGCGUCUGAUUAGCUAGUUGGUGGUGUAACGGACCACCAAGGCGAUGAUCAGUAGGGGAACUGAGAGGUUGAUCCCCCACACUGGCACUGAGAUACGGGCCAGACUCCUACGGGAGGCAGCAGUAGGGAAUAUUGGUCAAUGGGUGAGAGCCUGAACCAGCCAUGCCGCGUGCAGGAAGAAGGCCUUCUGGGUUGUAAACUGCUUUUGCCGGGGGAUAAAAUUCCCAUGCGUGGGACAUUGAAGGUACCCGGUGAAUAAGCCACGGCUAACUACGUGCCAGCAGCCGCGGUAAUACGUAGGUGGCAAGCGUUGUCCGGAUUUAUUGGGUUUAAAGGGUGCGUAGGCGGCCUAUUAAGUCAGUUCUGAAAUAUCCCGGCUUAACCGGGAGGGUGGGAUUGAUACUGAUGGGCUUGAGUGGAAUCGAGGUAGGCGGAAUUGACGGUGUAGCGGUGAAAUGCUUAGAUAUCGUCAAGAACACCGAUAGUGUAGACAGCUUACUAGACUUCAACUGACGCUGAGGCACGAAAGUGUGGGGAUCAAACAGGAUUAGAUACCCUGGUAGUCCACACUGUAAACGUUGAUUACUCGCUGUGUGCGAUAUACAGUACGCGGCUUAGCGAAAGCGAUAAGUAAUCCACCUGGGGAGUACGCCGGCAACGGUA
rnacentral:rRNA from 1 species